rnacentral:rRNA from 1 species
CCUACGGGAGGCAGCAGUGAGGAAUAUUGGUCAAUGGGCGCGAGCCUGAACCAGCCAAGUCGCGUGAGGGAAGACGGUCCUAUGGAUUGUAAACCUCUUUUGUCGGGGAGCAAAAGCCGCCACGCGUGGCGUUCCGAGAGUACCCGAAGAAAAAGCAUCGGCUAACUCCGUGCCAGCAGCCGCGGUAAUACGGAGGAUGCGAGCGUUAUCCGGUUUUAUUGGGUUUAAAGGGUGCGCAGGAGGAAGAUCAAGUCAGCGGGAAAAUUGAGAGGCUCAACCUCUUCGAGCCGUUGAAACUGGUUUUCUUGAGUGAGCGAGAAGUAUGCGGAAUGCGUGGUGUAGCGGUGAAAUGCAUAGAUAUCACGCAGAACUCCGAUUGCGAAGGCAGCAUACCGGCGCUCAACUGACGCUCAUGCACGAAAGUGUGGGUAUCGAACAGGAUUAGAUACCCGGGUAGUC